CCGCCGCCGCCGUAGACCCCGGCGAGGGCACCAGUGGGCCGCCGGUGAUCGCCGUUUCGAGGAGAGCUGACCCGUCAUCGGGACUCGGCACCGCUCCGCUCAUUGAGGGGACCAGCGGCCUGCCGCUGCCGCCACCGGCGAUCUUUGGAGAUGCUGGCCCGUCAUCGGGUUCCAGCACCUCUGCCGACGCAUGCGUCUCGGCCGUCGCCGCCGUAGACCCCGGCGAGGGCACCAGUGGGCCGCCGGUGAUCGCCGUUUCGAGGAGAGCUGACCCGUCAUCGGGACUCGGCACCGCUCCGCCCAUUGAGGGGACCAGCGGCCUGCCGCCGCCGCCACCGGCGAUCUUUGGAGAUGCUGGCCCGUCA